AAAAGUGUUAAGUCAUUUUUCGUACAUUUAGUUUCAAUUACUUACACUGGUUUUGACAUAUUGCCUUCCCACCACUAUGGUUAUAAGUGCAAAAGGACUUACUGCGAGGGCGUUGUCGUGUUGGUGUGUUUACCUUUGCUCCUCGACUUAUCCUGGUCUGACAGAUGCUCCGUCCUUGACCGAGUCACCAGCUCCACAUUGGUAGCACUGUAAACCUGGACCAGACGACGCACAAAAAACACUCAAAACACACACUUUGUUUAAGUGAAGCUCCUUGUUAACACAUUUGUUUGGGUUAAAAAUACAUUUCUUUGGCAUAAAACAGCAGUAGGUAAAACUGUGUGGUGUAGCGUAAAAAAGAGUCUCUCCUGGUCUAUGUUUGACAUAGCAAACUGCAUAUUGUGUUUUGUCUGUUAUCUGUUCGCACACUAUGUUCUUGUCUGCAUCUCCCUUGUAAAAAUUUGUGUCCGUUUUCACAAACACAAUAGCAAUCUCUUGUGCUAAAGCUCUCUCUGAUUUCUGACACAUUCUUACUUGUGUUAAUUUUAUUAAAAAAUGCUUUCUAGAACAGUCUCAACAGCAGACUGGCUCAGAAAAAUACUACACUAACUACCAAAUAGUGUGAACUACACGUUUCAGCCAGCUUUGCUACUUCUGAAAACCCAUAUGAACUGGGUUGGCUCUGCGGUCACUCUCACCUUGGCUUCGUACCCACUGACCACCUCACUCUUCUCAGAUCGCCAGCCCCAGAUUCCCGACUUGUUCCUAAACAGGCAAAGAAACAAAAACGUGCUUGUUACCUUUCGAAGGCAAUGUUGCGUGUGUUGAGGUGCGUGGAGACGAUGGGCGACGUGAGUCUCUGAGCUGUGUUCUCCUGCGACGGCUGCAUGGCUGCGAGUAGGGAGGGCGCGUCACGGGGAGACAACACAAGUGGCUCUGUGUACACCACCUGCUUCUCAUGGUCCACCUCCAUCACCACGGCCCCGUCGUCUAAGAAGAGCAGCACCCAGGUGAAAAGGAAAGGCGAAAGACAUAGGAACCUAAACCAGUGGCUAAUGAAACAGGCAAUUGAAAUAAACAAGAUUCAGGUCUUUUCAAAGUCCUCUGAGCUGUGGCUGCUGCCGGAGGAGCUGUCCAACUACUGCGGUGCUGAAACUGACCUCUGUGGUAAAACAAAUAAGUGAGACACACUCACCCCAACUGGUGAACUCCCACUUCAUCUCUACAUAGAAGUCCCGCGCCUGGAAGACACCAUGGAAACUCUUACUCAAACAAAAGCAAAAUAUCCCUGUCAUCUUACAUUUGUGCAUCCUGAUUCAUCAGACUUGGGAACAUGUUGGGAACAUGCAGUCAUGAAAAAGAUGCACUGACACAGCAGCUUUGAACUUUGUUGCUCUCCACUGAAAAGAAAAAAAAACAACCCUUUCCAUAUAUAGUAACUAAAGCUUUGUUGCGUAAGGCAGCAGGUAAAGUCCUGGAGGCUCAAAGUUUUUAAUAAAAUAGCCGACUGUAAAGAAGUUUUACCUGUCUUAGUUUGCUGAGCAGCUCUGGGAUGCCCGCCAGUCUCUCAGUGGCACGCUUGAAGUCUCUGUACUGGAGUACCAGUUGGACCAGCUCAGGGUCCCCGGUGCUUACCGCCUCCUGCAAGACUGAAACGUAACAUCCACAGUUAAUGACAGUGGGUGCUUCUUAUUCCCUUAGCAGCCUCGGGGCAUGAAACUGGGAGCCACAGCAGAGCACUUACUGGUCCAGCCCUGUGCGCUGCAGUGUGUCGGGUCUACAGAGUGCCUGAGCAGCACCCGGGUGGACUCCAGGUGGCCCAGACACACAGCCAGCUCCAGCGGGGUGCGCCCCCUCGGAUCCAGACGGUCUACAUCCUGCUGCACACAAAAACACACGAGCUGCAUCAGCGCAAUGCAGUGCGACCUAACAAACGCAUCUGUAAAAUCCCAAAUGCAAAAUAAACCUCCUUCACUCAC